rnacentral:rRNA from 1 species
UACGAAGGGGGCGAGCGUUGUUCGGAAUUACUGGGCGUAAAGGGCGCGUAGGCGGCCGAUCAAGUCAGAUGUGAAAGUCCUGGGCUUAACCUGGGGACUGCAUUUGAUACUGAUUGGCUUGAAUGCAGGAGAGGAUAGCGGAAUUCCCAGUGUAGAGGUGAAAAUUCGUAGAUAUUGGGAAGAACACCGGUGGCGAAGGCGGCUAUCUGGACUGUGAUUGACG